rnacentral:lncRNA from 1 species
GGGGUAAUGAUAACAGCUGCUCAGAGGAGGGUCGUGAGGAUGCAAUGAGCACUUCGAAGAGUCGCGGGGCGCAGGACCUGUGGGCUGGUGUUAUGACUUUUACUGAGGAUGUGUGGAGAGGAGCCAGCACCCCGCCCGACAAGAACAUGGUGAAGCCUCUGAACCUGUUUAUCCCCUUUCUCUCCCUGAUGACUUCCGGUUCUCACUUCUGAAUCGAUCUCUGAGCUGUCUCAGAGGGUGUCGGCUCAAGAGACAUGACCAUUUUUUUCUUUCUGGCCAAGGGAGCAUGCAAGAAGUACUCAUAGAAAAAGCUGGAAACAUCUUCAACCAAAGAUGGAUGGAGACUUGGUGGAUAAACAUCCCAGUUUUUUUUCACCUCCUGGCUGGGAGAACUCUGGGUAUUCUAUACAAGCGAUUCAAACCUUGCUGUGUAUUAGAUCAUCUGGGGGAUAUAAAAUUUUUUUUGAUGCCCAAGCCACACCCCAGACCAAUUAAAUCUGCAUUUCUGUCGAGGGAGAAGACUCAGGCGUAUGUGUUUUUUAAAGCUCCCGGGUGAUUGCAGUGUUCAGUCUCUGUGCUCUGUGCUCUGAGUUGCCGAGCAGGACUGAACUCCAGUACCUGGGGCUGUAAUUUGCUUAAUAAUGCACCCUAGUUGGGGCGCCUUCCUUUCCCCGGCUCACUUCCCCAUUUGUCCUGGAACGCCCUAACAUGGCCUCACCCAUGGCAUUCGGAAGUUCCUGGGCCAGGCAUUGAACCUGCACCACAGCAGUGACCCAAGCCCACAGCAGUGACACUGCUGGAUCCUUAACCCACUGAGCCACCAGGGAACUCUCCGAUAUACUUUGUCUUCUUCUCCUUUUAAAUACACUUUUUAUACUGCAUCCUGGUUUUAGGAUCAGCCUCCACGGGACUCAAAGGAAGCUAAGAUCUGGAAAGGUUAAAUGUCUUGCCAAAAGCCUCAUAGCCAGGACAUGGCAGAGGCAACAGUUAAAUUCCUGCUCUCCACAGACUUUGUGGUAUGAUGGAAGAGACAGGUAUUCAGAAAACUACAAUAGAAGACAAAAGGACAUGAAAGAUCAAAUAGAUCUUCAAACAAAGGCCAGAGGAGCAUUAAAGAAAAAACCCAGCCCAGCAAUUAAAUGUGAUUAGGGGUUAAGAAAUGC